rnacentral:rRNA from 1 species
AUUGAACGCUGGCGGCAGGCCUAACACAUGCAAGUCGAGCGAGCGGCGGACGGGUGAGUAAUGUAUGGGGAUCUGCCCGAUAGAGGGGGAUAACUACUGGAAACGGAGGCUAAUACCGCAUACUAUCGGUUGAACCCAUAUGGGAUUUGUUAGUAGGUGGGGUAAAGGCUCACCUAGGCGACGAACUCUAGCUGGUCUGAGAGGAUGACGGCCAACAUGGGGAUUGGGACACGGCCCAGACUCCUCCGGGAGGAGGCAGUGGGGAAUAUCGGCAAAUGGGCGCAAGCCUGAUGCAGCCAUGCCGCGUGUAUGAAGAAGGCCUUGGGGUUGUAAAGUCCUUUCAUCGGGAAGGCGUUACCCGCCGAGGAAGCACCGGCUAACUCCGUGCCAGCAGCCGCGGUAAUUC